AUAGAACAUAACAGAUCAUCGAACAGGCCGAGAGAGGUACGUAGAUAUAGAACAUAACAGAUCAUCGAACAGGCCGAGAGAGGUACGUAGAUAUAGAACAUAACAGAUCAUCGAACAGGCCGAGAGAGGUACGUAGAUAUAGAACAUAACAGAUCAUCGAACAGGCCGAGAGAGGUACGUAGAUAUAGAACAUAACAGAUCAUUGAACAGGCCGAGAGAGGUACGUAGAUAUAGAACAUAACAGAUCAUCGAACAGGCCGAGAGAGGUACGUAGAUAUAGAACAUAACAGAUCAUCGAACAGGCCGAGAGAGGUACGUAGAUAUAGAACAUAACAGAUCAUCGAACAGGCCGAGGGAGGUACAUAGAUAUAGAACAUAACAGAUCAUUGAACAGGCCGA